GACAGAGGGUGCAAACGUUGUUCGGAAUUACUGGGCGUAAAGCGCGUGUAGGCGGCUUUGCAAGUGACGGGUGAAAUCCCUCGGCUUAACCGAGGAACUGCCUGUCAAACUGCAUGGCUUGAGACCGGGAGAGGUGAGUGGAAUUCCCAGUGUAGCGGUGAAAUGCGUAGAUAUUGGGAGGAACACCAGUGGCGAAGGCGGCUCACUGGACCGGUACUGACGCUAAUGCGCGAAAGCGUGGGGAGCAAACAGG
rnacentral:rRNA from 1 species